rnacentral:rRNA from 1 species
UACGUAGGGGGCGAGCGUUGUCCGGAAUCAUUGGGCGUAAAGCGCGUGUAGGCGGCUCGAUAAGUCCGGUGUGAAACCUUGGGGCUCAACCCCCAAGCCUGCACUGGAUACUGCCGAGCUAGAGUCCGGGAGGGGAGAGCGGAAUUCCUAGUGUAGCGGUGAAAUGCGCAGAUAUUAGGAAGAACACCGGUGGCGAAGGCGGCUCUCUGGAACGGUACUGACGCUGAGACGCGAAAAGCGUGGGGGAGCGAACAGG